UGCCAGAGCCAUACCAUCCUAUAGCACUUGAAUUGGGCUUCCACUGAAGCUAUACAGGAUUGAGCUUGGUCAGUACCUGGAUGGGAGACCUCUUGGGGAAAACUAAGGUUGCUAUUGGAG
rnacentral:rRNA from 1 species